rnacentral:rRNA from 1 species
GAUGAACGCUGGCGGCGUGCCUAUCACAUGCAAGUCGAGCGAUUCUCUUCGGAGAAGAGCGGCGGACGGGUGAGUAACGCGUGGGUAACCUGCCCUGUACACACGGAUAACAUACCGAAAGGUAUGCUAAUACGGGAUAAUGUGCUUUUAUCGCAUGGUAAAAGUGUCAAAGCUCACGGCGGUACAGGAUGGACCCGCGUCUGAUUAGCUAGUUGGCAAGGUAACGGCUUACCAAGGCGACGAUGCGUAGGCGACCUGAGAGGGUGAUCGGCCACAUUGGAACUGAGACACGGUCCAAACUCCUACGGGAGGCAGCAGUGGGGAAUUUUGCACAAUGGGCGAAAGCCUGAUGCAGCAACGCCGCGUGAGCGAUGAAGGCCUUCGGGUCGUAAAGCUCUGUCCUCAAGGAAGAUAAUGACGGUACUUGAGGAGGAAGCCCCGGCUAACUACGUGCCAGCAGCCGCCGUAACAC